UACGUAGGGUGCAAGCGUUAAUCGGAAUUACUGGGCGUAAAGCGUGCGCAGGCGGUUUUGUAAGACUGUCGUGAAAUCCCCGGGCUCAACCUGGGAAUGGCGAUGAAGACUGCAAGGCUAGAAUCUGGCAGAGGGGGGGUAGAAUUCCACGUGUAGCAGUGAAAUGCGUAGAGAUGUGGAGGAACACCGAUGGCGAAGGCAGCCCCCCUGGGUCAAGAUUGACGCUCAUGCACGAAAAGCGUGGGGGACAAACAGG
rnacentral:rRNA from 1 species